GAAGAAAUGCUAAAAUAGGGAAUGAUUUUAGUUUGACGGUACCAUACCAGAAAGGGACGGCUAAAUACGUGCCAGCAGCCGCGGUAAUACGUAUGUCCCGAGCGUUAUCCGGAUUUAUUGGGCGUAAAGCGAGCGCAGACGGUUGAUUAAGUCUGAUGUGAAAGCCCGGAGCUCAACUCCGGAAUGGCAUUGGAAACUGGUUAACUUGAGUGUUGUAGAGGUAAGUGGAACUCCAUGUGUAGCGGUGGAAUGCGUAGAUAUAUGGAAGAACACCAGUGGCGAAGGCGGCUUACUGGACAACAACUGACGUUGAGGCUCGAAAGUGUGGGUAGCAAACAGGAUUAGAUACCCUGGUAGUCCACACCGUAAACGAUGAAUACUAGGUGUUAGGAGGUUUCCGCCUCUUAGUGCCGAAGCUAACGCAUUAAGUAUUCCGCCUGGGGAGUACGACCGCAAGGUUGAAACUCAAAGGAAUUGACGGGGACCCGCACAAGCGGUGGAGCAUGUGGUUUAAUUCGAAGCAACGCGAAGAACCUUACCAGGUCUUGACAUCCUUUGAAGCUUUUAGAGAUAGAAGUGUUCUCUUCGGAGACAAAGUGACAGGUGGUGCAUGGUCGUCGUCAGCUCGUGUCGUGAGAUGUUGGGUUAAGUCCCGCAACGAGCGCAACCCUUAUUGUUAGUUGCCAGCAUUCAGUUGGGCACUCUAGCGAGACUGCCGGUGACAAACCGGAGGAAGGCGGGGACGACGUCAGAUCAUCAUGCCCCUUAUGACCUGGGCUACACACGUGCUACAAUGGCGUAUACAACGAGUUGCCAACCUGCGAAGGUGAGCUAAUCUCUUAAAGUACGUCUCAGUUCGGACUGCAGUCUGCAACUCGACUGCACGAAGUCGGAAUCGCUAGUAAUCGCGGAUCAGCACGCCGCGGUGAAUACGUUCCCGGGUCUUGUACACACCGCCCGUCACACCAUGGGAGUUUGUAAUGCCCAAAGCCGGUGGCCUAACCUUCGGGAGGGAGCCGU
rnacentral:rRNA from 1 species